GGGGAAUAUUGCACAAUGGGCGAAAGCCUGAUGCAGCAACGCCGCGUGGGUGAUGAAGGUUUUCGGAUUGUAAAGCCCUGUCUUUUGGGACGAUAAUGACGGUACCAAAGGAGGAAGCCACGGCUAACUACGUGCCAGCAGCCGCGGUAAUACGUAGGUGGCGAGCGUUGUCCGGAUUUACUGGGCGUAAAGGGUGCGUAGGCGGAUAUUUAAGUGGGAUGUGAAAACCCCGGGCUUAACCCGGGGACUGCAUUUCAAACUGGAUAUCUGGAGUGCAGGAGAGGAAAGCGGAAUUCCUAGUGUAGCGGUGAAAUGCGUAGAGAUUAGGAAGAACACCAGUGGCGAAGGCGGCUUUCUGGACUGUAACUGACGCUGAGGCACGAAAGCGUGGGUAGCAAAC
rnacentral:rRNA from 1 species